rnacentral:rRNA from 1 species
AUAUGAGGUCGGACCUGCCCAGUGAAACGUUUCAACGGCCGCGGUACUCUGACCGUGCAAAGGUAGCAUAAUCAUUUGCCUUGUAAUUGAAGGCUAGAAUGAAUGGUUUGACAAGAACGUUACUGUCUCUCCCCCAAUUUUGUAGAAUUUUAUUUUGGAAUGAAAAAGUUCUGAUUGAAUUAAAAGACAAGAAGACCCUAUCGAGCUUAAAAUAAAUUAAUGAAAUAAUAUCUAUAAAAUCUAAAAGAUUAUUCGUUAAAAAUUUUGGUUGGGGCAACCAAGGAGCAUUUAAAGCCUCCUUUAUAAUAAUAAUUUAAGACUGAUAAGUCUCGAUCCAGUAAAUACUGAUUGAAAGAAUUAGUUACCGUAGGGAUAACAGCAUUAUCUUUUUUGAGAGUUCAUAUCGAAAAAAAGGUUUGUGACCUCGAUGUUGGACCAGAAUAUCCUAAAGAUGCAGAAGUCUUUAAGGGUUGGUCUGUUCGACCAUUAAAAUUCUA